rnacentral:rRNA from 1 species
UAUUGGGCGUAAGGGCAUGUAGGCGGUUCUGCAAGCUUGAUGUGAAAUCCCCGGGCUCAACCCGGGAACUGCAUUGAGAACUACAAAACUAGAGUCACUGAAGGGUAACCAGAAUUCCAGGUGUAGGGGUGAAAUCUGUAGAUAUCUGGAAGAAUACCAAUGGCGAAGGCAGGUUACAGGCAGAUGACUGACGCUGAGGUGCGAAGGUGCGGGGAGCGAACAGGAUUAGAUACCCUGGUAGUCCGCACAGUCAACGAUGUACACUAGGUGUCUGCACAAGAGUGUGGGUGCCAAAGCAAACGCGAUAAGUGUACCGCCCGGGGAGUAUGCCCGCAAGGGUGAAACUCAAAGGAAUUGACGGG